GAUGAACGCUGGCGGCGUGCCUAGUACAUGCAAGUCGAGCGAACGGACGAGAAGCUUGCUUCUCUGAUGUUAGCGGCGGACGGGUGAGUAACACGUGGAUAACCUACCUAUAAGACUGGGAUAACUUCGGGAAACCGGAGCUAAUACCGGAUAAUAUUUUGAACCGCAUGGUUCAAAAGUGAAAGACGGUCUUGCUGUCACUUAUAGAUGGAUCCGCGCUGCAUUAGCUAGUUGGUAAGGUAACGGCUUACCAAGGCAACGAUGCAUAGCCGACCUGAGAGGGUGAUCGGCCACACUGGAACUGAGACACGGUCCAGACUCCUACGGGAGGCAGCAGUAGGGAAUCUUCCGCAAUGGGCGAAAGCCUGACGGAGCAACGCCGCGUGAGUGAUGAAGGUCUUCGGAUCGUAAAACUCUGUUAUUAGGGAAGAACAUAUGUGUAAGUAACUGUGCACAUCUUGACGGUACCUAAUCAGGAAGCCACGGCUAACUACGUGCCAGCAGCCGCGGUAAUACGUAGGUGGCAAGCGUUAUCCGGAAUUUAUGGGCGUAAAGCGCGCGUAGCGGUUUUUUAAGUCUGAUGUGAAAGCCCACGGCUCAACCGUGGAGGGUCAUUGGAAACUGGAAAACUUGAGUGCAGAAGAGGAAAGUGGAAUUCCAUGUGUAGCGGUGAAAUGCGCAGAGAUAUGGAGGAACACCAGUGGCGAAGGCGACUUUCUGGUCUGUAACUGACGCUGAUGUGCGAAAGCGUGGGGAUCAAACAGGAUUAGAUACCCUGGUAGUCCACGCCGUAAACGAUGAGUGCUAAGUGUUAGGGGGUUUCCGCCCCUUAGUGCUGCAGCUAACGCAUUAAGCACUCCGCCUGGGGAGUACGACCGCAAGGUUGAAACUCAAAGGAAUUGACGGGGACCCGCACAAGCGGUGGAGCAUGUGGUUUAAUUCGAAGCAACGCGAAGAACCUUACCAAAUCUUGACAUCCUUUGACAACUCUAGAGAUAGAGCCUUCCCCUUCGGGGGACAAAGUGACAGGUGGUGCAUGGUUGUCGUCAGCUCGUGUCGUGAGAUGUUGGGUUAAGUCCCGCAACGAGCGCAACCCUUAAGCUUAGUUGCCAUCAUUAAGUUGGGCACUCUAAGUUGACUGCCGGUGACAAACCGGAGGAAGGUGGGGAUGACGUCAAAUCAUCAUGCCCCUUAUGAUUUGGGCUACACACGUGCUACAAUGGACAAUACAAAGGGCAGCGAAACCGCGAGGUCAAGCAAAUCCCAUAAAGUUGUUCUCAGUUCGGAUUGUAGUCUGCAACUCGACUACAUGAAGCUGGAAUCGCUAGUAAUCGUAGAUCAGCAUGCUACGGUGAAUACGUUCCCGGGUCU
rnacentral:rRNA from 1 species